CGAGGACAUUUAAGAAAAAGUAUUGGAAGCUUCAACCUGAGUUGAAGUCGAAGUGGGAAAAAAAUUAGAGGAUGAUGAUUCUAAGAAGAAAGAGAAAGUGGUAAAGGUUGAGGGGCUAUACGAACUCAAGCAAGUUGACUCUAAAUUGAGCUUGAUAGCAAUGGAAACAAACCUAGAACUACAAGAAGAAUACUUCCACUU
rnacentral:lncRNA from 1 species